GAUGAACGCUGGCGGCGUGCCUAAUACAUGCAAGUCGAGCGAACAGACGAGGAGCUUGCUCCUCUGACGUUAGCGGCGGACGGGUGAGUAACACGUGGAUAACCUACCUAUAAGACUGGGAUAACUUCGGGAAACCGGAGCUAAUACCGGAUAAUAUAUUGCACCGCAUGGUUCAAUAGUGAAAGACGGUUUUGCUGUCACUUAUAGAUGGAUCCGCGCCGCAUUAGCUAGUUGGUAAGGUAACGGCUUACCAAGGCAACGAUGCGUAGACGACCGGCGUGGGUGGUCGGCCACACUGGAACGGAGACACGGUCCAGACGCCUGCGGGAGGCAGCAGUAGGGAAUCUUCCGCAGUGGUCGAAAGCCUGACGGAGCAACGCCGCGUGAGUUAUGAAGGUCUUCGGAUCGUAAAACUCUGUUAUUAGGUAAGAACAAAUGUGGAAGUAACUAUGCACGUCGUGACGGUACCUAGUCAGAAAGCCACGGCUAACUACGUG
rnacentral:rRNA from 1 species